UACGGGGGGGGCAAGCGUUGUUCGGAAUUACUGGGCGUAAAGGGCUCGUAGGCGGCCAACUAAGUCAGACGUGAAAUCCCUCGGCUUAACCGGGGAACUGCGUCUGAUACUGGAUGGCUUGAGUUCGGUAGGGGAGUCUGGAAUUCCUGGUGUAGCGGUGAAAUGCGCAGAUAUCAGGAGGAACACCGGUGGCGAAGGCGGGACUCUGGGCCGAUACUGACGCUGAGGAGCGAAAGCGUGGGGAGCAAACAGG
rnacentral:rRNA from 1 species